AUACGGAGGGGGUUAGCGUUGUUCGGAAUUACUGGGCGUAAAGCGCACGUAGGCGGAUUGGAAAGUUGGGGGUGAAAUCCCAGGGCUCAACCCUGGAACUGCCUCCAAAACUAACAGUCUAGAGUUCGAGAGAGGUGAGUGGAAUUCCAAGUGUAGAGGUGAAAUUCGUAGAUAUUUGGAGGAACACCAGUGGCGAAGGCGGCUCACUGGCUCGAUCCUGACGCUGAGGUGCGAAAGCGUGGGGAGCAAACAGGAUUAGAAACCCCUGUAGUCC
rnacentral:rRNA from 1 species